rnacentral:lncRNA from 1 species
GUUAAACAUAUUUUUUUGUGGACAAUAUAAUGUGCAAAAUGGAUAUUAUAUGUAGGAAAAUAUAAUUAUGUUUAUAUAAGCUAUAAGAACAUGGGACUGAAAACAACAUGACCAAGCAAAGAUAUUGUACACCAGUGCAGAUAAUUUGCUCCUCGUACCCAAACACAUCUUAUUUUGAUCAUUGCUGCCAGCAACCUCUUCAUCCUCUCUGCAGCAAGAGCGGACCCCAUGUGCCUUCUCUGAAACCGGUCAUGGGCUAGUUCACACAAGAUACAAAAUGGUUCAAUACAUGUGAAAAGACGUUGCCUUUGCAUGAUGCCAGUGUGCCAAAUAUUCCAAGCUGCAAGAGGAUGAAUCAGGUCCUCGAUGGCUUAACAUUUCACAAUCAUAAAUCAUUUGCGUUUACUAUUUUUCCAAUGAAUAAUAUCAUCCUCGAUGGCUACAUAUGUUCUCCGUGUGAAGACUUAUUUUGGGAUGGAAGGAGUACAACAUACCAAUAGCAGGACAUUAAGAAUAUUAGCUUUGGUCCAUAUAAAAUUAGAUAUAUUUCACAUAAAUCCACAACCGAAAUAAGAUAAGGACGAUUAUCAUAUAUGUUUAGAGGAAGAUAUAGGAGUGUGUAAUACAUGAAUGAAUCCCCUGCAUCAAUUUGAUCCAAUUUUUAACAAAUAGGUGUAAGAUUUCAGUCAUAUAUAAAGUCAAAUUUUCAUGGUGGGAUGUAGGUUUUCUUGUCGCAUUCAACAUAAUGAUGAGAAAACUUGUGUGCAUGCAAAGUAGGCCGAUCAUCAUAAGUAAGCUGCAAUUUGAUAUAAGAUACAGUGAUAGCUCAACAAAAUCUUACCAUUUCAAGCUGCAUGCAGCUUGUCUGGAUGCUCAUAAAAUUUCUGAAAAAGUGAAGCGAUUUUUUGAAAUUUAGCAUAAAUAGCUUUCAAAAUGCACCUGUAGAUGUGCAAAAAGGAGAGGUUAGAAACAAAACAAAAUAAUAACACAGGUCUACUUUUGAGCAUCAUCUAUAUGUUUAGUGCCACUGAAAGUGAAGCCCCCCUGCAGACAACUUUUACAGUACGGUAGAAAUGAGGUAAAUGCCAAAAAUAAACAGUGUUAUAUUUGAUUUUGAUAAUGUUAGAAGAUUAUGUGUAUAAUUUAUAUUAUAUUUGUCAAGAAUACAUAUAACAGCAGUUUAUGUAAUUUCCUAAAUUGAGUGAAAGAGUAGUUUACGCGCAAGUACCAAAUUGACCUUCACAGCUCACCAAGACCUUCCGGUCAAAGAAAAGAAGCUUAUUAAUAUGUAGCAAAUACUAACUAAACUUAUUAAGAUCUCGAAGCCAACAAGCACAACUUGCUAUGUUGAUAAGCAUUUUGUUCAAUAACCAUGGACAAAGCUACAAGACGGCACACAAAAAAACGCAGCAACAUGAUGCUCGUUUAGUAUCCAUACCUUAUACCCAUGAUACUCAUCAACUGUCACAUAGGCAGUGUCAUUGCUUAGGCAUCAUCCCUAUUCUUCCACAAGAAAUAAAUAUGACGAUCCACUGUAUCUUCUCAUUUUUAUAUUUCAUUUCUAGUACGUAAUAUUGUGUCGUCGUCCAUCUUUCAAAGUUCCGGUUGUUAAUUCUGCAUCAUCAGGUGUGGCAAACUGGAGUCAACAAAAACUCUGAAUCAUUUAUAGUCUCAGUGUUAUCACAAUCUUCCCUGCCAAAGAAUCAUAAUUGUUAAAAGCAAAACAUAUGUUUAUAAAUUCUACUAUGAUAGAAAUGCACAUGAGAGAAAUGAUGCUAGCAGUUUGGGAAAUCUAGAGGCACCAAAACGACUGCACUUUCAGGAACAACAUGGCAUCUAUGCGAGACGUGCUGCAGGCCAUUAGACGGGGCAUCGAUCUAUGGAGGCAGGCCGGAGCAACAUGUUUGCUGCACCCGUUCACUUUGCUGCCAGAGGGGAUCGGCUGAAGCCUCUCCUCUGCUCCCUUUUCCUUUUUUCCGUAGCAAUAGUCUUGUCUCUUUUAUCUGUUCUCUGAUCAUAGGAUCAGCACUAUGUAUUCUUUUAUCCACUGCUCUCUGUUAUGGGUAAUAUGAAAAAGCCAGUAAUGUUGGAUCUUUCAAAAAAAGAAAGGAACUUGAUUGUGCCCCAAUACAUAGUUUUCAUCUCUUCAUUAGAAUAGUAAAAGACAAUACGUAUGCAUGAGCUGAAUUAGAUCGAUCAAUUAAUGCUAAUUGUCAUGUUUCGCUCACCUGUAUGGAAAGAACAUCGACAUCAUUCAUAAAUUAAAAAAAGGACCGCUUGGGAAAAUUCAAUCAUAUCUAGAGAAGAGAUCUCAGUACAGAACCAACCUUGGUUUCUUUGGACAGAUUCUUAGUGCAGGGAUGAAUCUCUUCCAGUCUCUUAUCUCUUAAACGAUGAUCUAAAGAAAUAUCAACACAUGAGAACAUCCCAUAAACAGGGAUGGAAAGGAGGGGAGGGGGAGGGGCGUUCAAAAGGGACUCACCAGUACAAACCACGGCCAGAUCUGGGCUCUGACAGGCAAAGAAGACACUGUAUCCAUGAAAGGAAGGACGUGGAAACAUAAUGGGCUCCUCGCCGCUGUCGCUGCAAGGAACGUCUAGGGAUGCAUCCUACACUGCAUUCUCGUCUCCACCUAAGUAGCAUCAGGAGGAAUGUAGGGAAGGUAAGAUGAUUUCACCUCCAACACAAGAAGGAAGAAGUUGAUUUUACCUGGAAUCUCUACAAAGCGUAAGGCAGACGGGAGGGAGAUGUCGUGACGCCUCGGGUACGCGUAUAGCGUCGCG